CGAUAAUAAGUUGUUUUUACCGGCGGUCGUGAUACGCCAAUAAAAUUCCUAUUUGAGAAAGUGUUUAUUGAUUGACGCUACGUUGGGCGCCUACCUGGCUACCGGAUUAAAGGCUCGGUACUAAAACUGGCAUUUCUCUGUCGUCCGCUCAACACAAAGAUGCACAUCAAAGGUCAAGCACGCUUAGUCCUUGUGACAUCACAGUGCGGCGCCUGACAUCACAAUGGGGAAGAAUAAGACGCCGGGCAAAGGCAGGGAAAUAUGGGGCAAUUGAAGUGCGUGUUUUUAAAUAAGCAAAUUCGAAUUCCUUAUUACCAUAUACGGACAUAGCCGUUAAGUGAUGCUUACGAAAAUUAAAUCAUAUGUAUUAAAUCAAGUAAGUAGGAUACUUGAUCGGAUGCAAUUUAAUCGGAUGGUUAACAUAAAUCGCUUUUAAAUGGGUCGUAUCACGGCUCGUAAGCGAGGAUGAAUUUCACUGCAUCGAGGCUGACCAUUGUUGAGCUGGAUUAGCUUCAUAAUUCGUUCUAAGUCAUGAUGUGUGUGAGUCAGUGAGAAGAACGGCACUCUUGAAUUGCUCAACAGUGUCGACACAGUUAAGCAAACACAGGCUGCUGUGUGGUACAACCAGCAGAGACGGCGGGUGGGAAAUUUUACGGAAAUCCAGCGGUGGGUAAACAUGGCGACAGACAAACACGGGCGUGAUUAGUGUUCGCACAUUGGACGGUAUAUUAAGUGAUGAAAGUUUGCUAAAAGGCGACGAAAUGAUAUCGAGUUCCAAUUACCACAGAUCAGGCAAUAUUGACCAACGCACACUGUACUUGUCGGAGUGUUGAUUAACUACGUGGUGAACAAAUAUGAGACCUCGGGAAUAUCUGGUUUUCAUCUUAAAUAAUCUUGGCACCAGUGCGGCGACGCAACUCAGGUGGCCCGGCAGCAAUUUCGGUGGAACCGCAAGUACGGCAAGAAUUACAACUGGCAAUAAUAACACUGAGUAUAGCAAACAAGUGAGCUUAACGACCACAUUAAACGAGUCCUGCGUCGGGGUUUUACAAGAUCAAACGAACCGAAAGGUUUGAGGAUCUCAUAUCCUCCCCUUAGCCGCAAAUAUGUGGUGAGACGACCCGGAGUGUCGCAGACACUUUCUCCCUUUGAGCUUUGGUGACGCGUUGUUGCAAAAGCAAACAACUGCAUCACACUGCUGCCAACCAACCUUGGCCGCCUCCGCGCAUCGCAAUCACCACCGAGCGGCCACGGUCGCACACAGACGACCUUUCAAGUGAAAUCAAGCGAACUAAGGUAUCAUUAUCGAUGAGUCGCGUAGACCUCGUUGUUACGAAACUCUGUGGCCUCUUUUGAGCGUCCAAUUCAAGCUGAAUGAACCCAAAGCGCAAAAAACACGCGAUCAAGAAGAGCGCAUACAAAUACAGCUGUGCUUUUAAUGGCGCGACAUGAAACAAGACAAGAUACAAAAGGCGGCAGAAGCGACUGUAUAAAUACUGUCAAAAUAUUUCGCGGACUGAAGAUACAUUUUUGAGCUAAAAUCAAUCUUAUGGCCAUUCAAUCGCCAUCAAUAAGCACUGACUAAACACAAAACUGAAAAAACUUGUAGAGUAACUACUAAAAUCGUCAUACUCUUUACAACCAAGAUGCUACGUUGCAGAUAUGUAUAUUCACUGCUUAAAUGACCACACUAAAAACUGUCUUCUUUCCAAAUGGAGCCAUUAGGAAAACCAAACGAUUACAACAGCAGCCCACAAAGAACGUAAUUGGGUUCAAACAAUGCGACUGAUCGUGUCGCAUUCGAGCGAUGACAAUGGGCAGGGGGGCGAUUGCGGUGAAACAGUUUCCUCGAAACGGAGUGCAAACGGCAAUAAAAAACGCAGCUGCAACACAAUGAAACACGGAGAGCGACCGGACAAGGUUUCUCGGGGACAAAUAUCGCGUUAAACUGUCAACGGUAAUCCAUUUCGGUUAUGAGGCAGGAGAAAUUGAUAGCUUAUUGGUAUACAGAUACACUACUGACCGCGACCUGUUUACAGAGAAAAAGUUACUCGCGGGUAAAGAACUCAGGAUGCGUCAUGCGUGUUCUAUUACCGCAACAGGAUAAAUUGAACUUCCAAUACGUGCUUUGCGGACGGAAAGAAUUGGGGAGACCUUUUGCCACACGCUAUAGCUCGAGAACGUUUUCAAAAUACAGGCUAUAACUUGCCCUAAGUUAAUGAGGGCACUGCUAAUCCGUUGAUUGCUACCUCGACAGUGCUGCAACGGAACUGACUGGCUUACUCGCACCGCGACGCCUUUAUCAACACAAACAAUUACGGUAGCAUAGAAGGCAAGCUCCAGACCUGGCACCUGGAACAGAUGCUGGCUUUCAACGUAGGAGAACAAUUGCAUAAUACUUUCCAGGUGCAUCUGAGAUGAGAAUAUAUGAUGGUGGCGUGGCAGACGGAUUAAUUUCAAUGCGUUGAGGCAAAAUUCACGAAGAAUUUGACCAACCACGGCAAAAAUUAUGGCAGCGUCGGAGGUACCAUAAGCGAUAUUGAAAUUCCGCAGAUAACUUAUCACGUUCGUCCAAAACACUAAAUUGCCAGCUGCCUUCGAUUUAAACAACAACUCGAAUGUGGAACUAGAAGCACUGGGCCAUGAAUGCAGUACGGAAGACGCAAGCAACUUCAAAACUUCUUUGUGAAGAGACAACACAUAUCUUGUUACGUAACACGAGUCCAUGUCGAGCCUGUGAACUGGCUGGCAUGAGUUCGUCGCUAGCAGUUGCGUUCGAAA